UUAAAGGGGCAGAGGUGCCAAGGGCAGUGUUGAUAUUCAGCACCUGCGGGGGCUUAGCCUCGUGCUAAAGGCAGGGCAGAGAGAACCCAGGUCACCUUCGUUGGUGGUUCAGGGCUUCUAAAUUUGGCCGUGGGAGCAGACUUGCUUCCUUUCGGCAAUUGAUCUGAACAGCAGAAGCCCAUUCUGAGGGUUCGAGAAUCACAUUUACAAGCCGUGGGGGUGAAGGCCAUGCUAAUUGGCCACUUGCCUCACCCCUGGCUUUUAAACAAUCAGUUGUGUUCUCUGCCUGGCAGGAAGCUGCAGGCCCAUCAAGGCUCUGGGCUCCGUCUUUGUUGUGACUUUAUGGCAUUUUAUGCCACAAUAAGAAACACUGUGUACUCUGUGGGAGCCCAUUGUGCCAGGCUGCAAGGAUGUGGGCUCCUGUGCAGAGGGCUGGUGCUCCGCCCCCAGAGAGGGAGAAGAGGGGCUUUGUGACAGGCUGGAGGGCAAAACAAGGGGUGCCGGACACUGUUACUGGGGCAACUGCUGGCCAGUGGGGGGGCAGCUGUGGCUCCUGGGUCCCUGUCACCCGUAGGCCGGGGUGGGGAAGGCAGGCGAAGGAUGGACUUUCUUCUAAGUCAAUUCUACAUCAGGACUGUGCCAACCGCGGCCCCCAGCCCCUCCAGCUGCUAAGCCGGCCUCAUCCCGCCUCAAGACUCGAGACUCCAUGCCAGGUGACCGCCUCUGUAUGUAAGCCAGCUCUCAUUCCUCACGGAAACGCCAUCUGGGUAACUGAUAGUUAAGUGCACGGAGCCUUGUAUCAGGCUCCUUGGCAGUUCCUGACACAUGUGAGCCAACCGCAAGAACCAGCCCCGCCACCAGAAAUCUAGAGGAAACCAUGGAAAAGGCUGGGAGCCCCUCUCUUGUGGAAGGUGGUGGUAUGCCAUGUUGGGAAACAGCUUCCGCAUAAAGAAUACUCAAAGGGCCCAGCAGUGGGGAAGGCAGUUAAGAGACUGGGCCCAGGUGGUCAGAGAAGACGUGGAUCUGGAACCUGGUUCUGGGACCUUGGAGCUGUCGCGGUUCUGAAGGGCUUUCCGGUUCCAGCGUGAGCCUCAGGAGGCACCUGACACCGCCCCCCCGCCCAGUCCCGGGACCUGCGCGGCGCGUCGCCUCGCGCCCGGUCACGUGGCCCGCGGCGCCAGAGAAGAGCCCCCACGUGGGAGUGAAGGAAUCGGAGGAGUCUCGCGAGAUGACGGGAUUUUAUUGGUUGCUCACUCCUCGGCCGUACGAGGAGGUGGGGAGGAGGGGCAGCGGCUGUCUCGUCUUCCUGCUCCCCUGCACACCUCACCGCCCCUGAGUUGUUGGUGACCUCGUCCUCCGGCUGCCACCCCCCCGUUCCGUCCACCUGCCUUCUGGAAGCCUCGCGUCCCUCUCUCCCCGACGGCGCUGUGCUGCGUGCCUGGCCAAGGGCGACUUACCACACCAGAUGGCUUGGACAGUUGUUGGGACACCAGUGGACAUGCCUGGAAAUUCAUUAAUCUUGGCCUUUUGAGAAAAUCUUCAACAGGAUUUAUUUGCAAGGAAAACCCGUCAUAUUAUCCAGGGAGGAGGAUCCUUGGCGGGACAAGUCAUAGUAAGUCACUUGGCACCAAAGCGUAGUUUUAACAAAACUUCCUGGGAGUAAGUCCUGGCCCUUUCACAGACUUACUGUGUGAUAUAGUUUAGUUCAUCUCUUUGCAUCUCAGAUUCUUUUCAUGCAUGAACAAUAGUGGUCUAUUUUUUGAUGGUUCUGUGAGGAUUAAAUGAGUUAAGAUGUGUUACAGCAUUUAGAACAAUGCCAGGCAUGCAGUAGGUGCCGUGCACAUGUUGGCUUUUGCAGUUAGCUGUCCAUUCAAUUACCUAGCUAACUAGCUCGCUACUGAAUAUUAACUACCUGUUGUUGAAAGCAAAACCCCCAGUGAAACAUCCUAUUGGAUUUUCACCUAAUCCGAACAAAUGUGAACAGAGAAGGUGGAUCGGUUCCUACACUGGACUCUUGGUUUCUUUCAGAAGCUAUAUCAUUUAUGAUUGUCUUAUAAGUAGUCAGUUGAAAUUUAUCUCAUCUUAAGAAAAUGUACUUUUUCUUUUUCACACAGCAAGUCUCGAAUGGAAACUAUUUAACAACAUUUAGAGAUUAUCAAACAAUAAUUAUUUUGAUUUAAAGUUGAUUUUAAAACUCUUUUCCUCUUCUCAUUUUGAACAGUAAUGACAAUUUUCAUUUCUUCCCCCAUAUGUUCCUAAGUUGAAAUGUCACAUUGCUCUUCCUUUGAGGAAAGAAAAGCAGCUCGGUCUUUCAAAAUCAAAGUCUAAAGCAUUUAAAAAGAAACGAACUAGAAAAAACUUUAAAAAAUCAAGCUACAUGGUAUUUGUGAGGAUUCUAAGUUCUCUAUUUGUAAUUUGAUGAGAAAGUCCUAAUAAAGCUAAAGAAGAACUAAAAGAAGUUGUCAAAAUUAACAUUUUUUUAGAGCGUUAUUAUAUUUGUACUUAACGUUUUCCAAAAAUCCCCAACUUGCUCUUCUGGUCUAAUAGAGAUAUUACCUUGCCCAGGGCUAGGUUCUCCCAGAAGUUCAGAGAAAGAAUCAACAUGAGGAAGGGAAGGCACUUCCAUCAGAGAAUGCAGUGGCACUGGGCACUGGAGUAACAGCUUAGUGACACCGUCAUGGUUCUAGUUAGGCCUGGAAGAUGGAGACCCAAGGAUUGGGAGUGGAAAUGCAUUUCCUCAGGGAUGUGAGAAUGACGAGAUUUUUUACCUGAGACCUAACAAUGUUGAGUCUGGAAUGGCCGGGUGACAGUGAACAGAGAUGGUUAGAAGAGCAAGGAGACUAAAAUAGAGACAGGCAAGACCAACUUAUUUUCCAACUCUUGCCUGAUGGCUCAUUUCCAAGACCCCGGAAACUGAUUCUCAACUGGUAUGCAACUGGUAUCUCCCUCCCCCAGCGUGUGCUACUGAAUUCUGAUCAAUGGAGACACUAAACCUAUUUUGCCACAUGUCGUGGGAUGGAAGGCUGGGCUGAACAGAUCUUAUGACGUGUAGACCAGGGUACAACCUGCUGGGAAUAAAAGGGAAGAGGCAAAGAGUAGUGUCAGUCUGGUGCCAGAGAAAGACCGUGUGUUUAUGACAUUCAAAAUGAAUACAUUUUCAUGAGAGUAUGAAAGACUGAUCAAGAUGGUAACUCUAGACAUUCAAACAGUAACAACAUAGGAAGGGUGACCAAGGGACUGUGGGUGCAAAUGUGUAUCUUCAAAAUCUCCAAAGUCCACAUUCACAUUGUGCCUCAAACACAAAAACAGCAUUAGAGAACUGAGGGUAGCUUAUAGCAUUCUGGAUAGGGUGGACCCCUUUGUGUAUUCAAGAACCAUAAAUUUAGGGUGUUCUACACGGAGUGCUGGCCAUAUCACAAAGCAGGCUAAACUUUCUCUUAUCUAGAAAAAAACUCUAAGAGCAGCAAAGUCCUGCCCAUGUUGACAGUUUUGAGCUUACUGGAAUCGUAAACUUCAACAACAAUAAAGAACAAGGAUCAGUAACCUUUUUUGGGUUUUGGGGUUUUUUGUUUUGUUUUUUGGGGGGGUUGUUUGCUUGGACUCAUGUACCACCUGCUGGAAUCAGAUUGCUGCUUAACCCCAUUUGUCUCUCCCACCUGAAGAUACAGCUGCCAGAUGGGGCCGGGUAAGAGUGGGAUCAGCAAUAAACCUUUGCUCCCCAUUUUGCCACAAGAUGCUUUCUGGAGUCAGAUGGGCUGUCACAUGUAUAAAUAUCCUGCGCACUGGUCUGUACCAUUGACUUUGGUAAAGGGCAUCCCGCCCCCCGCCAACCUGCCACUGUCUGUGAUUCUCAUGCUAGCAAGUUGGAAUGACUCAGCCUGAGACACUGAUCUGAAAGCAGUAGUGGCCUUGGUGAUUAAAUUAAUGUAUGAUGACCACUGGGUCUGCUCCCUGAAGGAGGGGUAUGUGGGACUGUAGAGUUGUCUUUGUACUUACUCUCCAUCUCACUAUGGAAUGGCCUCUGGGUGAAACUCAGAGCUGCAAGUGACUGAGAUAGCAAACAUGACAGAUUUUCUGACACUUGCUAGGUAUUUCUUGUAAUGCAAAUUGAUCCCUUGUGUGUUGUGGAAAUCACUGUCAGUUUACACAGGUGGGGACACAUUUUCGUGCUUUUGGGGACAAGUAUGUAUGGUGUUCUCUGGGGUAGAGUUCUGUGUGGUGGGCAGUGGGGUAAGGAAGUGGUAUGUGGCCAGAAAAUGUUAUAUUUUAAAAAAUUUGAAUGCUACAGUGUAGUGUUUAUUUAUUAAAAGACUUAUUUAUUUGACAGCAAGCAGGGGGAGUAGCAGGCGGAGAGGGAGAAGCAGGCUUCCCGCUGAGCAGGGACCCCAAUGCGGGGCUCGAUCCCAGGACCCUGGGAUCAUGACCUGAGCCGAAGGCAGAUGCUCAACGACUGAGCCACCCAGGCGUCCCCAGUGUAGUGGUUCAUAGCACAUUGAGACUGAUCUCAGUUGGGUAUUUCUCACAUGUAGUGUGGCUACAAUAUAUUUCUCCUCCAUUCUUUAUUUGAAUUCAUAUUCCCCAUUUAGCUGAGAGGAGCAUCUGAGGAUCAUAAAAGAUUUGGCCAUCAAAUGGAGAUCACCUACAAAAUUACCUCCUACUCAAAAGAAUAUGUCUAAAAUGUGGGAAUUGAGAAGUAUCAUUUGCAACAACUAUGUCUUCAACCCCAUGCUAGGCACCAUGAAGGAAUCUAAAGACAAAAACCUUGCCGUGGGAGAGAGAAGAUUAUACCAUACUAGCAAAAUUCAAAACAACAUUUAAUUAAGCAAUAAAUUGGGUGGCACCAAUUAUGAAUUCCAAAGGAACUCACAGAAAAAGAUGUGAAGUCAAGGCAGGGUUCAUGAGGCAGGUAAUGAUUUCAAGAGCCAGGGUAUGGAUGGAGUAAGAAGUCGGGCAUGAUUCUCAGACAGCAGGGCCAGGGGCCAUAGCAGAGAGUGUGAGAGGAGCGGAGAGAACAAAAGCUGGAUAGCAAGGUGGGGUCAGAUGGUGGGGAAGUGGCUCUGAGAUUCAAGCAAGGGAUUGAGAGUCAGUGUGAUAGAGACUGUGGGUCUGAGUAGAAAAUUCUUAACAUGGUAUUAAGAUUAACACGUAGGUUUCUUUCAGACUGGGAAAAUAAAGCAUUCUGCAGAUUUGCCAGUGAAAUAAUCUUUUUGUAGUUUCAGUGGCUUAUUUUUAUAAAGUGUAAUUCUUCAUUACAAAAGAAACGCAUGUUCAUAAUGGAAAAAUCAAGACAAGCCUAAGAAAAAUUCAAAACCUUCACAACCCCCUUAACCUUGAAAUAAAAACUGCAAAUAGCUUGGUCUGUAUUCUUUUAAGACUCCCUUUUCAUGACUGUGUUGGAGGCGACUAGCUUUCCACUGAAAUCCUUCUGGAUAUGGCCACCUACCUUGAACUGCAGGUUUCUGUCUCCCCAGCCACUAGAUGUGAACUCAGGAGGAAAGUCUCACCAGCCGGUGGGAGUGGGAGUGAUGUGUGCAUUCUGCCUCAGUGUCUGGCUCCGCACUUCAACUUGCAAGGUAACAACUUUGAAAGUCGUGUGUCGAAGACAACCAAACCAUUAUCAGCCUGUCUCUGAAAGUCCUGGUGGAGGAGAGCUGCCUGCCUGCUGAUCUGGUUCAUCCUGAACUGUCACAGGCACAAGAACUGAACUUCCGUCUUGACAGAGUCAUCACGUUUUUGGUCCCUUUGUCACAGUAGCUGACAUUACUCUAACACUUUUAUAAAUACAUAUGCAUGAAUAUGAUUAAAAGGUAGAAUUGUACCAUAUAUACUGUUUCACUUAAUGAUACAUUGCAUCAACAGAUACCUUUUUAAUGUUUUUCAGUCUUAUUAUGAAGAAUGUCAAAUCUACAGAGGAGUUGAAAGAAUAGUACAAAUAAUACCCAUUACUCUUUAGCUUGUCAGUUUGCAUGAGUAUGCUCUCAUACACGUGUGCUCUCUCUAUAUUUUUCUGAAGAAUUUCAAAAUAACUAGACUUCAUGAUACUUCACCCCUAGAUACUUAAACAUGCAUCUCCUAUCAAAACAUUCUCCUACAAAGCCACAAUACCAUUUAUCUUAACUAAGAAAAUGUAAUAGUUCCAUGACAUUAAUAUGUGGAACAUAUUCAAAUUGUCCAAAAAAAAUUUUUUUAGCUGUUUGUUUUGAUCUAUGAUCCAAUCAAAGUACAUGCAUUGCAUGCAGUUUUUAUGUCCCUUUAGUCUUUGGUUUUCUGCCUCUCUUGCUUUUUCGUGUUUUUUUACUGUUUUGAGGAGUCCCAGCCUCCAUAGGUCUUAUGUUCUGAAUUUGAUUGUUUCCUCAUAAUAAAAUUCAGGUUAACCACUUUUGGUAUGCAUAUUCUAUAGGUGGUGUGGUGUCCUUCAUAACAUCACACAUCAGCACCUCACAGUGCUGCUUGAUCUCUAGGGAAAGGUGGUGACUAUCAGAUUUCUUCAGUGUAAAGUUACAUUUUUCCCCCCAUUGCAAUUAGUAGGUAAUCUACAGAUGAUUCUUUGAUACCGACUAGCCUAUUCAUAAACAACAUUUUACCCAGUGAUUUUAGUGUCUUUUGAUGUACUUUUCCUGAUUGGUAAUUAUACAGGGGUAGCAAAACGAUUUUUCUAAUUCUGUCAUUUCUUCUAUAAUUAAUAGCUGGCAUUCUUCUCUAAAGGAGAAAUCCCCCUUUCUCUUUUAUUUACGUAUGUAAUUUAUUAUCAUUGUGGUCUCAAGGAUAUAUUUUACUCAGUUACCUCAUCACAACCUUUGAUACUCAAAUUGUACCAAAUUGGUGAGUGGGAGUCCACUGAAGUUGACUUUUGACUUGAGUUUUUGAGCACUUCUUUGCUUUCUGGUACAAUAAAAUAUCCUAGCUUCACCUUGUAUUUUACCUCAGACCUGGAAUCCAAGAAGCUCUGGUUCCUUUUAGUUAAAAUGGUACUUACGAAUUAAUACUUAUAUGCGAGGUGCGUUCAUUGCUAGUGGUGUGGCAUUGUUCCUAAAUCCUUUCAAUAGAAUUCAUUAGAAAUACAUAUUUAAAAAAUCAUGAGUUCACAGUGAUAUUUCUAAUUAAAAUGUAACACUAUAUGGAGCUUUCCCUUCCUUUAAAAAAUUUUAUAUUUGUAUUUUACAUUUAAUAUCUUUUAUUCCUUAAUAUUUUUGUGUUUUAGUCUGUAAUAAACAUGAAAUAAUGUCAGAAUUACAAUACAAAUAUUACUCUAAGAAUAA